rnacentral:misc_RNA from 1 species
UUUUUUCUUUUCUUUUUUUUUUUCUUGAACAUAAAUGAUUUUUUUUCCUCUUGCACAUUGAUCUUCUUUUCCCCUUUGAAGAUCUCAUUUUUCUUUUUACUGUCAUAAUUAGUACUACCCAAAUGAUGGGUUUAUUUCAUCUCUAGUGGCUCAUGUCUAAAAUGUUGUCUUUGGUACAUAUCUCAAAUUGUCAUGCAGUUGUAUCUGGGGGGAAUUCUUACAGCAGUAUAUUUUCUUUUGUUUUAUUCUGUACAGAG